UGCCAGCAGCCGCGGUAAUACGGAGGGUGCUAGCGUUGUUCGGAAUCACUGGGCGUAAAGCGCGCGUAGGCGGUUUAUCAAGUUGGAAGUGAAAGCCCGGGGCCCAACCCCGGAAUUGCUUUCAAAACUGAUAAACUAGAGAAUGGUAGAGGAUAGCGGAAUACCUAGUGUAGAGGUGAAAUUCGUAGAUAUUGGGUGGAACACCAGAGGCGAAGGCGGCUAUCUGGGCCAUUUCUGACGCUAAGGCGCGAAAGCGUGGGGAGCACACAGGAUUAGAUA
rnacentral:rRNA from 1 species